UUAACUACCACAACCGCACAACCUCUUAGGGCCCUGUAUAGUUGGUUUUAGGUUGGGGCGACCACGGAGUACAACCAAACCUCCGCAAUGGACGGGACCACUCCCUUAUCUAAGAGCCACACCUCUAAGAAUUAAAACACUAACAUAAAAUGAUCCAUGAUCUGAUCAAUGAACCAAGUUACCCUGGGGAUAACAGCGCAAUCCAUUUCAAGAGCCCUUAUCGACAAGUGGGUUUACGACCUCGAUGUUGGAUCAGGGUAUCCUAGUGGUGCAGCAGCUACUAAUGGUUCGUUUGUUCAACGAUUAAAACCCU
rnacentral:rRNA from 1 species